rnacentral:rRNA from 1 species
GGAAUUUUGGACAAUGGGCGCAAGCCUGAUCCAGCAAUGCCGCGUGAGUGAAGAAGGCCUUCGGGUUGUAAAGCUCUUUUGUCAGGGAAGAAACGGUGCUUUCUAAUACAGAGCGCUAAUGACGGUACCUGAAGAAUAAGCACCGGCUAACUACGUGCCAGCAGCCGCGGUAAUACGUAGGGUGCAAGCGUUAAUCGGAAUUACUGGGCGUAAAGCGUGCGCAGGCGGUUUUGUAAGACUGUCGUGAAAUCCCCGGGCUCAACCUGGGAAUGGCGAUGGUGACUGCAAGGCUAGAGUUUGGCAGAGGGGGGUAGAAUUCCACGUGUAGCAGUGAAAUGCGUAGAUAUGUGGAGGAACACCGAUGGCGAAGGCAGCCCCCUGGGUCAAAACUGACGCUCAUGCACGAAAGCGUGGGGAGCAAACAGGAUUAGAUACCCUUG